UACGUAGGGUGCAAGCGUUAAUCGGAAUUACUGGGCGUAAAGCGUGCGCAGGCGGUUUUGUAAGUUUGUCGUGAAAGCCCCGGGCUCAACCUGGGAAUUGCGAUGAAGACUGCAAGGCUUGAAUCUGGCAGAGGGGGGUAGAAUUCCACGUGUAGCAGUGAAAUGCGUAGAGAUGUGGAGGAACACCGAUGGCGAAGGCAGCCCCCUGGGUCAGCACUGACGCUCAUGCACGAAAGCGUGGGGAGCAAACAGG
rnacentral:rRNA from 1 species